GAUGAACGCUGGCGGCGUGCCUAAUACAUGCGAGUCGAGCGAACGGACGAGAAGCUUGCUUCUCUGAUGUUAGCGGCGGACGGGUGAGUAACACGUGGAUAACCUACCUAUAAGACUGGGAUAACUUCGGGAAACCGGAGCUAAUACCGGAUAAUAUUUUGAACCGCAUGGUUCAAAAGUGAAAGACGGUCUUGCUGUCACUUAUAGAUGGAUCCGCGCUGCAUUAGCUAGUUGGUAAGGUAACGGCUUACCAAGGCAACGAUGCAUAGCCGACCUGAGAGGGUGAUCGGCCACACUGGAACUGAGACACGGUUCAGACUCCUACGGGAGGCAGCAGUAGGGAAUCUUCCGCAAUGGGCGAAAGCCUGACGGAGCAACGCCGCGUGAGUGAUGAAGGUCUUCGGAUCGUAAAACUCUGUUAUUAGGGAAGAACAUAUGUGUAAGUAACUGUGCACAUCUUGACGGUACCUAAUCAGAAAGCCACGGCUAACUACGUG
rnacentral:rRNA from 1 species